CUCCCCGGGAAUUGCGCAGGGCCCGCGGGGCUGACGGGCGUGGGGGGCGGGGAGCUCCGGCGGCGCCCAGGGCCCGAGAGGGGCCGAAUCACAGACCCUUAAUCCCCAAUCCGGAUCUCGGGCGCCCCCACCCCCCAACUUCGCUUGGAGUCCCCGCAGGCGCCGCCCCCGCGCUGAGGUUGCCUGGACAGGGAAGGCGGGGGAGCGGGAGCACCGCAUCCAUUUCAUUCAUGAUUUUCUCCUCUUGGGAGCCCCGGGCCUGGGCUGCGCCGCUACGGCAGCCGCCAGAGGGACCCCGGCGGGGCAGUGCGCGCUCAACCCGGUGCAGGACGGACAGGCAGGCAUAUAGAGAAUACAACAUCCUCAUGGGCGUGGAUCCUUGUCUGGUUCAAUCACUGAUGGAUCCCGAGGGUCGCGGAAAAUGCCUGGUAUAUAGCAGGAGGCGGUGUUCCCAGAGGUUCCUGCUCCUCUACCCUCAUUUCCUGGAGUACUUCUCUUUCUUCUGUGUCACCUGCGUUCUGUGCUCAGACACUUAGAGCUUAUUUUCUGCCUCAGGACCUUUGCACUGCCUAGGAUACUGGCCCCUUAUCUCCACAUGAAGGCUGCAACUGAUGAAGUACGGCUGUGUUCAUUCCCAUUUGAGCCUCGGAAGACCCGUGUGAGGGGUAAAGUGGGAAUGUCGCCCAAUGGACCAGGAACGUGGGACUCUGAAGACGGAGCACUGACGGGACUUGAGCAAAAAGGUACUCAGCUUCUGAGGAGCAGAUCCAAGACCCAAAUCUGGACUUCUUGAUUCUAAGUUCAGCUCCAGCUACUGACUGCCCUUCUUGAGGGAGAUCAUGUGACUUGCAUCAGCGCAGCCCCUCGGAAUAAAUCAUCUUACAUAAGGAGAAGAGUUUUACUUUCAUAACCUUGAAGGUAAAAGUGCUUCAGUGGAUCAUCGUAGGCUGUGACUGUUCCCACCCCCUCCAUCACACCUCCCCUGUGUCACAGCAGAGAAUCCUUUGGGGGCUCCACGGUAGUUACGACAAUGUUCAUGCCUCUUUUCAUGGGGGAAGGCAGUAUUGCAUGGUGGCUGAAAGCACAGGUUCAAGUCCUGCCUCCUCUUCAGCUGUGUGGCCUUGGACUCAGGUAGCUAACCUCCCGGAACCUUGAUUUCAUAUGGCUGACCUCAUGGGGAUGUGGUGAUGAUUAAAUGAAAUAAAGUACUGGGAGCUUAGCAUAGCGUUUGGCACGUAAUAGGUGCGCAUUAACUGUAGGUCGAACCCUGGCAUUGCCAAGGCUUAUUCUUGAAGCAUUCAUUCAAGCAGCAUUGAUUGAACACAUGUUCUGUGCACUUGGCUCUCUGGCUUCUCACAGCACGUCUGUGAGGCAGGCACCAUUAUUCCCAUUUUAUACGUGAGGAAACUGAGGCUUACUUGUCCACUACUGUCUUUCACACAUGUCAGAGCCAGGAUUUGAACUCAGUUCUAUCUGACUCUUAUUCCAGUGCUCUCCUGUAUAUCAGAAAGUGACUGACAAGCAGAGAUUAGAAAAGGGGUAUUAUUGAUGAGGAGUGGUGACGGGAGCCCCAGAAUUGGGGUAUCCAAGGAUUGGACCUCCCAAGGUAUGGCUCUCUCACACUCGCUGUGCAACUUUGAGCCAGUCACUUUGCCUCUCUGGGCCUCACUGGCUUCACCUGCAUAUCAAGGAGGUAGGACAGAUCGUCUCAAAGAUCCUUUCCAGCUCUGGCCUUCUGUGAUGCUCCUCAGAUUUCAGAAAGAUUCUCGUACAUGAUCCUGGAAUGGAGGAAGUAUAACCAAGGCCCCUGAAAUGUCAAAUCAGUUUGCCUUGUGGACCCAUGUGUUUCUGCAUGAAUUCAGAAUCUGCAGAGGAGAACUCUCUAAUUAUCCUGCAGGGACUAGCCCAGCUAGUAAUUACACUUAUUAUUUUUAAUUGUAUUUUAUAAGAUGCCUUUCAUCCAAGAUCUCAAAGGGCUUCUCAAACAUUUAUUAGCAGAGCCUUUCCCCCUCCCGAGUGGGUAUGAAAGGCAGAGACUGAUUUUGAUGUCAGAAAGAAGUGGGGGGAGAGAGAAGCGGCCUGAGAUCCCGACUUUAAUUUCACCUCUGAGUUCAAAGUGGGAGACAAGAACAGAAAUUUGCCAAGGAAAGGCUUACCUUCAGAAGCGGUUCAAGGGAUAUUCAGUGAAGAGCAGAUGGAUCAGGAAAUGUCCCUCCUUUAAAAAAAAAUCAGUUUCUAUGUGCUAGGAGAGGGUCAUUCAGUUUGGCUCAGUCCAAUUUGACUGCUUCAUUUCCCUUUAGACUUGUCCAUCAGCUGUCCUUUGAGCUCCAGCUCUCAGGCCUGUGCUAGGGGAUGUGAAAGAUAUAAGGGAAGCAAGGGGCUCCAAGUGUGCCCUUGGCGGACUCGGGCACUCUGGGGCAAGCACUAGGGCACAGGAGCCGCCCAGGGGAGCCCUGGUGGGAGGGGAGGGAGAGGUGAGCUUGGGUCCAUAUGCCAAAUCCAGGGACCUGAUUGACAAAUGACAUGGAAAAACCAUUUUGAGUAGCUCAUCAUGAGAGUCUCUCCUCUUCUUCCUUCUGCACUCCCCUGUACUGUAGCCAAGACACCAGGGGGCUGGUACCAGGUUCCUUUCAUCCCUGUUCCAGAGAAUGGAUAGAAGGGAGCACCAUGGGGCAUGAGAAGCUUUGCUUUCCGAGGGCUGGGGGAGGGGCCAUCGGUCCUUCCUGCUGGUGUGUGAGCUUCUGGAGGACAGAGCCUGGCCUGCCUGUUCACCACUUCCCCAGCACACAUCCAGGCACAGAAGGUGCAUGCUCAGAACAUAUUUGUUGGCUGAAGGAGCAGAUCACAAAGCUGCCACUCUGUUUCAAGACUUGCAGAUGAUCUGAUGCAGGUCAGAGAAGGAUCCUUCCUCUCCUCAGCUUGGAGGGAUACACAGCUCCAGGGACCUCAGAAGAAAAAGACAGAAUUCACUGUCAAGUUGGGGGCGAGCUCAUGAUGUGGUGAGGUGGUGUGGGAAGCAGGGCACGUGGGGUGAGGUAGCAAAGAGGAGGAUUGUCCUGGCUACUGGGAGCAUGAGGAUCCUUUAGCAAGAAGGCUGGGAUCUAUGGGGCAAGGCUUCCAACUCUUUCCCUGAUGGGGGCUCCAAGCCACCAUGACUGGUACACUCAGGAUGAUAUGGGGAUGCAGCUGUCAGGAGAGAAGGAUGAGGCCUGGCCUUGCCCACAGGGAGCUGGUAGUUUUGUUUUGGAGAUUAGGCUGACACACAGAGCAAGCAGAGAACCAGGCACGAUUUGUCACUGCCUAGAUUGCUAGUUUCCUGAGUGCAAGAGAGAGGGUCUUAGCACGGGUCUUUCUUAUUGGACCAGAUGUAGGUCUAGAUACUUUUUCCACCCCAGAUACACUUAACGAUUAGUUGUCACACUGGGUGACAUGAAACGUUAAGUGGCUGAGGUCAGAAAAGGGACAAGUCUGGAGGCCAAGAUACUGGGGGAAGCUUCAAGAGGGAGGAGAAGCUGUGGUCGUUUCUAUUAAAUGAUCAUGAAAAGAAUACCAGCCCACCCGCACCUUGUCAAAGGGCUUUCGCAUCACAAGACACCUAUGCAGUGAGGAUGAUCAGGAGGAAACAGAGGUUCCAAACAGCAAAAGGGCUGCCUUGUAGUUCCCCACUGAGAGGGCAGCUGAGGGUCUUCCUGCCCAGAAUCCAUUCCCUUCUCUUCUGGGGAAGCCACUGUGUCCUUACUCUCAGUCUGAGGGGUUUCCUUGGGGCUGACAUCUUCUCUAGAUUUUGUAGGGGCUCCCAGGACUCAGACCCAGUGCUGGGCCCUCCUGGUCACAGGAUUUGUCCAGGGAUGAGCACAUGACCCACGCUGGGCCAGUGAGAACCAUCUUGAAGUCUUUCUAGAACCUCUAGGGGCAAAGCACUCUUUCCUUUGGGGGUGGCAAGCCAAGAAUGUUGGCCUGGGCCUUCUGGGGGUGAGCCUGGCCACUGGGUAGGGAAAAACUGUCUAAAGAUGAUGCUAACACAGAAGAAACCAGAGCUGCAAAAUAAAGAGGGACUUUUGCAAGCUCUUGAUAACUUUUCAGAUAUAUCAAUCAAUGUAUUUCUUUUUUAAUUCUCUCUUAAGCUACUUAGAUUUAGGUUUCUGUCACUCGUAAGAGAGAAAAUCCUGCCUUAUAUGCCUGGUGAGUGAACCAGAUCCUGGUCUCAUCCACCUCUCCAUCCAUCCAUCCACCAAAAACACAUACAUUUAAUGAAUAAAGCAGUUGCUCAAUGCAUUUUUGAAUGAAUUAGUGAACGACUAAUUUGCCAUGAUGCAUUUGAUGUCAGAGAGACAUCCAGUUCCCUUUAAUGCUGGUGGAGAUUUGUCAACAAAGGGCAAACCUAGUUCAGAACUCAGAACUUGAAAAUCAGUCAGAAAUUCAGUUCCCCAAGGCAGUACUGCCUUUCAUCAGUGUCAUCAGCACACAGCCAGACAUGGCCUUUCCUUUGCCAAACAUGAUUCGGUUAUGUUGGUGCCACAGCCCACAUGGGAGGGUCCAGAAUGUCACUGACAAGCUUGUGGGUUUUCCUGUUGGAGCUGAUGCCACUAUUGUGAGCUCCACAGUGACACGAGGGUGAGUUGCCAAGGAGGGCUCACUUGCUUUACCCUUAUGGGACCUGUUUUGCCUGUUGUACCAUGGUGAUCACAGUACGUGCAGAACUGCCCGAGGACCACAGAGACAAGUGCCAGCUCUUUCAGAUGACUUUGUAAAAAAUCCAAGAGUCAGAGCACAAAGAAAUAAGCCAGUCAACUGUCUCAAAUUCCUGUUUUUUGAAGGAAAACUGCGACUCACAGAGAAGAUGGGAAGUACUCAAGGGCACACAGAGAAUAAUUAGAAGAGACUACACCUGGACUCCUGGCUCCCAGUCUGGUGCUUUUCCUGCAAUGCUGCUCUCCCUCCCUGGGCCACAUUCCAAAACAGGUGGAGUUUGUGUCCAAGGGCUUAUUUCCUCUUUGAUAGUUACAGGUGUUGGUAGAUCAGGGAUGCUGUGAGCACUGGACUGGAUUUCAAAGAUGUUCUUCACAUGAUCUGCUGUCCUCUGCUUAUGGGCCACAUGGCACAAUAAGGACGGAUGGACACGGAGGUCACAUAACUGGUGGGAGGGCACCUUAAAAGUCACCUUGCUCGACCUCCUUCUGGCAUCAGAAUUCCCUGUACGACGCCUGGUGAUGCACUGGUCAGAUUUGCUGGUGGCAGAGGGUUGGGGGUGGGGAUGGGGGGAGAGAGAGUUUUGCUCUUGGUCCCCUCUCUCUCCUGACUCUUCAAGGACAUAAAUCUGUCCAUUGCCUCCUCUCUCACUCUUUAAAAUCUCCAACCUCUUUCUCUUUCACUCCUUCCUCUGGAUUAACAAAUAUUUUGGUUCUCCUUUUCUUAAGGCCAACAAACCAAUGAACAAAUGAUGAUUCUUCUUUUGACCUUUCUCAAUGCUUAGUGACCUUCUUAUCUUUCUCUUCUUCCACCAAAUGCCUUGACUCCUUGACAUCUGCCGUCCACACUUCCUCCUGAUCCACCCAUUCCUUGAUGUUUGGGCAGCCUGGCUUCUCUCAGAAGUCACUGAUGACCUCCCAGUUAUGAAAUCUGGUGUCUUUUUUCUUUAAGCCUUACAGUUUCUUGUUUCCUCUGUAUUAUUUAAGAUAUUGCUCACCCAGUGCUCAAUCUCCCAUGAUAUGAUGUUCCCCUGGUUCUCUUUCUUUUCCUUGGGCCUCACUUCUGAUCAUAUCUCUGUUUACACUUCAUAGCACACUUGUUUUGAGUCUCUUCCCCAGAGACCUUGUCCAUCCAUUGAUGGCUGUGUCCAUUCAGCGCUCAGCUGAGAGCAAGCUGCUGUGCCAGGAACUGGAGAUUCAGAGAUAGAUCUUGAUCAUUCUUGACCUCAGUGAGCUUGUUUUCCACUGACAAAGCCAGAGAAGUUCAUCCCAAUACCAUGUGAUGACAAAUGCUGGACCAGCGUCUUCCCAAAUUCAAGGAAAAGCAGAACUGAAUGCAGAAAAGGACUUUUUCAAAUUCUCCCAUGUUACAAAAGAGGAAACUGAGGCACAGGGAGAGGAAGUCGGUGUCCCACAGCCCUACAGAGAGUUGGCGAAAUAGCUAAGAGUAGACCUGAAGUCCCUCCAAAUGCAUCUUUGGCGGAGAAUGGCUAGAGAUGACCUUUCUAGUGAAAUAGGAAGGUAUUGGAGUGCAAGAGUAUUUGGAGUUUUCUCCAAGAUACAAAUGCAUUUCACUGAGUUCUUUCUGCAACUCAAGACCCAUCAUUAGAACCUGUGUUUUACUUCAAAUAUUCCAGCAAGGGGCCACAUGGUAGAGAUCCUAGAAUUGGAAGUUCUUUAUGAGAAGGGAGAGAAACAAUACCUUCUGAACACUUAAUAUGGGCCAUAAAACUAAGACCCAGAAGUUAAGUGAUUCUCACUUCAGUUUUAAAGCAAAACCAGGGUUGGAAUUUAGGUUUCCUGUCCCUGGUCUAAUCUUUUCAUGAGGCCAAGAGCCAUAAGCUGCCUGAGCUGGAAUGCUGGGCUAUCACCUGCCCAGAACAGAGAGGGGAUGACUGAUUGUGAGCCUUCUGAGUGUGGGAGCCCCCUGCAAACCCACUGUGUGCAUUUGGGUAAGAACCUGCCCUCGUCUUUACCCCCAGACAGAGCGAGCAUCAUGGGCAUGCAAUUUCUGAAGCUGCACAGGACUCUGUGCUUAGAAGGGCCACAGGCUUGGUCCGAUGUUGCCAUCUUGAAAUCCUUAAUAAUUGGUGACCAGGGGCCCACAAAUGAUUUAGCCAGUUCUGCCCCUAGAUUACAGCUUUUCUUGUUGCCGCUCAAAGCACUUCCCAGAUCACUUAUUUGGAUAGGUCCCUGGUCUCCCUGUCCUUAUCUCCCUAGGAAGGGCUAUUGGAAAGAUCAUCUGAAGGUGAACUAGGCCAGACAGGUACUUCUCUGAGUUGCCUGGACAACUUCCUGUAAGGGUUUUACUCUCCCUGGACAUUAAGGAGCUCUGUUCUCCUGGGUCUGCCUGUCACAGCAGAGUGUAGGAUCUAGCUUUGCCAGACCCAGACCCCGACCCCAAACCAUUCACCACUUUAACCAUCUCCUCCUUUGGUUCAAGAGCUCUUGGCCUAGAGAAGAGUCCAGGCAAAUAUGGUUCCAACCCACCUUUGUAGCAUUUGCUCUCAGUGUUUGUGUACAGAGAGUCUCUGCUCUGACACAAUGUCUUCCUUUCCUCCCCUAGGUGAACCUUCAAUACCCUGAUCUCUACACUUGUCCUUGCCAUCCUAGGGCACUGCCUAUUCUCAUUAUCUGACAUUCCCCCAUCCUUCCAGGUCUAGCUGUGGUCUUAGCUCUUCUCUAAUGGGCUGUCUCUGACCACCCAUCCUGUAUCCUCUCUCCCAAGAAGGCCGCAUGAUUCCCGAAGGCAGACCCAGGAUUCCACCUCUGUUUUCCUCACCAAACCACACACCCAACAGUGGUCAGUGAGUAGUUGCUGGUGCCUUGAUUUUCAGCAGAGGAGAAAAGGCAGGAAAUCCAUUUCUCGGUGAGGCUGGGUCAUGUGCUCCCAGACACAGCUUGCCUGCUACUGGAGGUGAGUCAGUGAGAGCCUUGUCAAACCUGUUUCCCCAGCUGAGGCUCUGGGCCCAGGCUUGCCCCCAGUGCCCAGGGUACCACAGAUCUCACUGGGGGAUGUUACCUCCGAUGUUCAGGGAAGGGAGACAGCUUCCCGCCAAGGGCAGAAGGGUGUGGGGAUGCUAGGGCAGAGUUUACCAGGCUCCAGAAGGGGGUGCUUACUGUUUUCUGAGUGAUCAAACUCUAUCCAGAGUUCUGGCAUCCUGUGAUUAGAUUAAAGGUGGGAAGUGGAGGAACUACCUAGAAGAGGAGGGGCAGGAACCCAUGCCAAAUGGGAAGGGUUGUAGGAACUAGGGAUGAAUAAAUUGGAGGAAAGAAAGCCUGAGAGAAUGUGACCCAUGUCUUUAAAAUGGUCAAAGAGCUGCUGUGGCUGGCAGAGGUGGACUCAUUCUGUGUGGUCCCUCAGGGCCAAAGUUGGACCAUGGCAGGGAAAUUAUAAGGAAGCAGAGCUCUAUUCAAGCAAGACUGUCAAGCAUGGAAGGGUCACAAAGCAGAAGGAAUAAACUGACUCUUCCUCAGUAGGAGUGGCCAAGCAGAGAUUCCAACCCCAGCUGAUCCCUCAACUCACUUCUCGUUCUCUGUACAGCUUGUCCCUUCACUUCUCAAAACGAUCUUUAAAAUCUCAUUUUCUCUCCUUAAGCCUCUGAUCUGUCUCUGGUGUAAAUGCAUCAACCAACCCUUCUCCACCACUCUCUGGUUCCAUCAUCUCUUGCAAUAGUCUCCUACAUGCCCCAGCCAGCCGCCAAAUUCCCACCAGUCUACCUCCAUGUUGCCAGAGUGAGGUUUCUAACAUGCAAAUGUGGAUCUGCUGCACUCCUGCUCAGAGCCCUUAGCCGUGGAUUCCUGGUGUCCUCAUGAAACAGCCAUGUUUCCAUAAAAAACACUCCUUCCUAUCCUGAAAUGAUAUGUUAUCAUAUGCAAUAGAAAAUUUCAAUGUUCACUUCCUGUUUUAAACAAAUUCACUCAGGCGGUGAUGCAAGGGGCAACAGGAGACUCCUCGGGAUCCAUUAUGAACGGUAUUUGGUUGCACAAUAUGAUUGCAGAAGGAAGACUCACUGGGGAAAUGUUUGGUUUCCGUAGCAUCAAGCUCAUUCUAGGUAACCGUGGGAGGGUGACUAAUUUUCUGCAAGGAACUGUCGAGGUAGCCUGCCUCCCAGAGUAGUAAUUGACUUCUGUGACUCCUGUAGAACCUGGUGCUGUUAUCUCACUUGGCAGAAACAAACGGACAGGACAUCAGUAGCCAACAAUAUGAACCCUGACCUACACCUCACCCCUUACCCAAAAGUAAACUAGAACUGGAUCAUAAAGCUAAAUGUAAAAUGUGAAACCAUCAAAACUUUUAGAAGCGAACAUAGGAGAAAAGCUUUGUGACCUAAAAUUAGAAGAGUUCUUAGACGUGGCACCAGGAAGCACAAUCCAUAAAAGGAAAAAAUAAAUGAAUUAGGCUUCAUUAAAAUUAGUAACAAAAGACUCAGUUAAGAGGAUGAAAUGGUAAGAACCGACUGAGAGAGAAUAUUUGCAGACUACCUCUCUGACAAAAGACUUGCUUUCAGAAUAAAGAACUCGGCACUCAGCAGUUAAGACAACAACCAGUCUAACUAGAACAUGAGCAAAGGACUUGGACACUUCACUGAAGAAGAUACGCAGAUGGAAAAGAAACACAUGGAAAGAUGUUCAUCAUCGCUCGUUGUUAGGGAAAUGCAAAUUAAAACCACAAUGAGAUACCACUACACACCUAUUAGAAAGGCUGAAAUAAAAAAUCCUGAUAAAACAAAUGCUGGCAAGGAUGUGGAGAGGCUGGAUCUUACAUAUGCUCUCGGUGAGCGUGUAGAAUGGUGACAGCCAUUCUGGAAAUCUGUCUGGCAGUUUCUUAAAACAUUAAACAUAUGCUUGCUAUAUGACC